rnacentral:ncRNA from 1 species
GCUGUACCAGAGGUUCUGCAAAGUUUGCUUUCUGGAAUGGAUCAAAGUAACCACCCGGAUUGCCAGACAUCCAGCUAAAUGUUCUGGUAGAGCUUGCCCAUUGCAUGAACAGGUAAGCAGCUUCCGCAUGUUCACUCUGGGCUGAGAUCUCCGCGUUGAUGUUAUAGUACAGACAACUGCGGCGAAUCAGGUCGUCGCCAAAGGUAUUGCCGGGUGGCA